GGGAUUUCAAAAGAUGCUCGUAGUGUUCUCAGUUCUGUAUGUCGUCACUUCCGCCGCCGUGUUGCCUAGCAACACUACCGCUACAAAGACAACUAAUACAAAUCAAGUGCUAGCCAAAAAAAGCGAGAGGUAACUGUGAGGGUCUAGUAAAUCCAUCGGAUGCAAAUCCGUGCUUAGCUUGCGAGUGUGAAGAAGGCGAGUACCGAUGUGGACAUUGGGACUGUGUGGAGCCGUUGUGUGUUGACAGUGUGAGCAGACCGGGCGAAUGCUGCAAGGUCUGCCCUAACGGUUGACCGCGCAUAUGGUUGAUGCAGGCGUUUCAUAUAGGCUGAUCUUUAUGAUAUGAGGCCGACUACUCCAAAACUUGUGUACAAUAGUUUGAUUUGUAACAUACUAAUGUUUGCUUUUUGAAAUAUUUCUUACAAUUUAUUUAAUCGUUAAUAGAAUGUUAGUGGUUAUAGAAAUAACUGAAUCGGAAUGUUUAUUAGAUAAUGGUUUGAGAAAAAAUAUUGGCCCUUUUUUUGUUAAUGAAUCGGCCAGAGUAGUUCCUUGCCGGAACGGCUUCAUCCCACCACGCCGUGUAAAUCCAGAUAAAAAAAAACACGCCCACUAUAUCAGCAUCAAAUAUCACACAAUAAAUCACGCGUACACUAAACUGAAACUGUUUACAUGCAAGUAGAUCCAUUACUAUGUUAAAUGGUUGUUUACUGUGUAAGUAGUUUAAUCAAUAAUCUAAAUAAAUCCGUUUGAGUUAUAAUCCUAUUACAUGUAAUUUCAAAAUUUUGUAUCAGCCUCAAUAGCCUAAUAACUACCAAGAUUUCUUCGAUUAACAAUUAGGUUUAUUAUCCUCCCAUUGAUUAAUUUUAUUACUGCCGUGUUUACUUUAUAACAGCAAGCCUACCAUUGGUAUGUGACUGAACAUUAAAAUAUGUAUAUCAUACAGGGAACAAUAACGAAAACCAUAAA